GAGGACCGUAUUCAUGGAAGAGGAUUGAACAGACUACUGAGUUCUUAAGAGAAAAAUGGCACUUAAGAAAUUGAUGGUGAUAUCAAAGGAAGGUUACUUAUUACUCUUGGACUUUGAUGAUGAGGACGAUGACAUAAAAGUUUCAGAGGAGGCUCUUGCGGAAGUAAAGAGCCCAGGAUUUGAUAAAAAUGAGAAUAUAUCGCCUCAAGCAGAAGCAGAUGAAUAUAUGGGAGAUGAAGUAGACAGUAUGUUGGAUAAAUCUGGAGUAAAGAACCCAGCAAUUGGUAAAGAUGAGAAUAUAUCGCCUCAAGUAAAAGGAGAUGAAGACAUGGGAGAUGAAAUUGACAGUAUGUUGGCUACAUCUGGAGGUCUUUUCUCCUGAGAACACGGGACUCCAGCAUCUUCGGAUUCUGCUCUUGGAGGGGUUUGCCCCACAUCCUCUAUAUUGCAGAAAACAAGACUAGGCUCUACCUCUGUAGAUCAAGCACGACUGAAAUCCGUGCUCUCAAAAGAUGCUGGGGAGAAAGAGUGCCAUUCUUCACAAAUGCUGAUGUGUGCAGCUGAACAGAGCGUUGAGGAAACGUCAGUGAUUUUAUAACUACUUAUCAUGUUGGGAGAUUGUUGUGAUGAUUGCCUGGACUCUCAGAUGUUACACAGGCUGCAUCAUUGGACUGAAAGUGAAUGGCCCAUGUGUUGCCACUGAUGUGAGCCAUUUGCCUGUUGUGCUUCA
rnacentral:precursor_RNA from 1 species